GCCUGGGAGGUUGAAUGAUAAAGCCAGAAGAAAGCAUGCUUUCUGAUCAUUUGCAGCUGUCUGCUUCAGAAAGUGAGGGCUCCAGGAAUGAGGAGAAUCUUCAAGAGCUGCCUCGCACUGUGACAUGUCUGAUCCCUUGCUCCCAUCCCUGCAGCAUGAACAAGGUGGACACUCACUGACCUGUCACAAGGUUGCCCCACAAAACUUUGGGGUCCAUGUCUGAAUGGAUUGCCAGAGCCUUCUCAUCUCUCCCUUCGCCCAGUUCCCUGCAUCCUAAGACUCGAAGCCAG
rnacentral:lncRNA from 1 species